UUUUUUUGUCUCAUUUUUAGCACCGUAGCGUUUCCAUUUUGCACUUUAUGUACUCUUUGGCACUUUUUAUAUACUUGCUAUUUUAGUGAUUUACAUAAAAUUAGUCAUGUAUCGUUUUUAUUCUAAGCACUUUAUACGUAGUACUGGAAACAUUUAUAUGACAACCACUAUUAAUUGAGGCUCAAACUCCUCCCUCCUACUCAAGUUUGAGCCUAUUUAUUUGCGCUAGAUAUGCUUGAUAAAGGCCGAAACGUCACCAAUGUUAUUUGGUACCUCAAUAAAGAACACCUG